ACUCAAAUGAAUUGACGGGGGCCCGCACAAGCAGCGGAGCGUGUGGUUUAAUUCGAUGCAACGCGCAGAACCUUACCGGGGUUUGACAUGCUCUUGUAAGCGUCAGAGAUGGCGCCCCUUUUCGGAGCAGGAGCACAGGUGCUGCAUGGCUGUCGUCAGCUCGUGCCGUGAGGUGUUGGGUUAAGUCCCGCAACGAGCGCAACCCUCGCCGCCAGUUGCCAGUUUCUGGCGGGACCGCUGUGCAAAACGCAGAGGAAGGUGGGGAUGAUGUCAAGUCAUCAUGGCCUUUAUGCCCCGGGCUACACACACGCUACAAUGGGCGGUACAGACGGUUGCCAAGCCGCGAGGUGGAGCUAAUCCGAGAAAGCCGUCCUCAGUCCAGAUUGCAGGCUGCAACUCGCCUGCAUGAAGACGGAGUUGCUAGUAACCGCAGGUCAGCACACUGCGGUGAAUACGUUCCCGGGCCUUGUACACACCGCCCGU
rnacentral:rRNA from 1 species